UUACUCAGGAAGACCUUACAACCAUUUCUCCUCUUCUAUCUGCACAGUGAGAGUAAGAAUGCUUGUUCUACAUAACUGGAAGCUCAAAGGAGAUGGUAGAUAUGAAGGUGCUUUGAGAAGUGAAAUGUCUUUGCAGUAAACCUAUACAUGUAUGGAGCCUUUUGAAAAGUUCUCCUGAUUUGGAGAAGAGCGAGAAAUGCCCAGCUCAGAACCUUGGAGACAGGGCCAGCAAUGGAAGAAGAGAAGUUGUCGGGAGAAAGUGAACAAACGAGGGAUGUUCUGAAGUUCUUGCCUGCUGUGUGCCUAAGCACUACCCACCCCGUGUCUCUCUCUGUGGACCUGGUCUACUUGUAUCCAUGUGCCUUCCUUUCUUCCCCAUCUUCCUUUUUGCUCCUGUCUUCCCUGUUCCCUUCCUCCAUCUCCCUCCCUGCACACCGUCCUUUCUCCUCCUCUCUUACUUUAUCCUCAAGAGUAUUAUUAGUUUUCAUGCAAUAAAAUACUUCUCUUCCAUA